rnacentral:rRNA from 1 species
AUUGAACGCUGGCGGCAGGCCUAACACAUGCAAGUCGAGCGCGAAAGUUCUUCGGAAUGAGUAAAGCGGCGGACGGGUGAGUAAUACAUGGGAAUCUGCCUGGUAGUGAGGGACAACGUUUCGAAAGGAACGCUAAUACCGCAUACGCCCUACGGGGGAAAGGGGGGGAUCUUCGGACCUCUCGCUAUCAGAUGAGCCCA